CCUACGGGUGGCAGCAGUGGGGAAUAUUGGACAAUGGGCGAAAGCCUGAUCCAGCCAUGCCGCGUGUGUGAAGAAGGCCUUCGGGUUGUAAAGCACUUUCAGUGGGGAAGAAAGCCUUGGGGCUAAUACCCUCGAGGAAGGACAUCACCCACAGAAGAAGCACCGGCUAACUCCGUGCCAGCAGCCGCGGUAAUACGGAGGGUGCGAGCGUUAAUCGGAAUUACUGGGCGUAAAGCGCGCGUAGGCGGUCUGAUAAGCCGGUUGUGAAAGCCCCGGGCUCAACCUGGGAACGGCAUCCGGAACUGUCAGGCUAGAGUGCAGGAGAGGAAGGUAGAAUUCCCGGUGUAGCGGUGAAAUGCGUAGAGAUCGGGAGGAAUACCAGUGGCGAAGGCGGCCUUCUGGACUGAAACUGACGCUGAGGUGCGAAAGCGUGGGUAGCAAACAGGAUUAGAUACCCCGGUAGUC
rnacentral:rRNA from 1 species